GUAGGUAAGCACGUCAUUGUACUGCGUAUCACGUGGCAUCGUGGAUAGAGAACCUGUAGGUAAGCACGUCAUUGUACUGCGUAUCACGUGGCAUCGUGGAUAGAGAACCUGUAGGUAAGCACGUCAUUGUACUGCGUAUCACGUGGCAUCGUGGAUAGAGAACCUGUAGGUAAGCACGUCAUUGUACUGCGUAUCACGUGGCAUCGUGGAUAGAGAACCUGUAGGUAAGCACGUCAUUGUACUGCGUAUCACGUGGCAUCGUGGAUAGAGAACCUGUAGGUAAGCACGUCAUUGUACUGCGUAUCACGUGGCAUCGUGGAUAGAGAACCUGUAGGUAAGCACGUCAUUGUACUGCGUAUCACGUGGCAUCGUGGAUAGAGAACCUGUAGGUAAGCACGUCAUUGUACUGCGUAUCACGUGGCAUCGUGGAUAGAGAACCUGUAGGUAAGCACGUCAUUGUACUGCGUAUCACGUGGCAUCGUGGAUAGAGAACCUGUAGGUAAGCACGUCAUUGUACUGCGUAUCACGUGGCAUCGUGGAUAGAGAACCUGUAGGUAAGCACGUCAUUGUACUGCGUAUCACGUGGCAUCGUGGAUAGAGAACCUGUAGGUAAGCACGUCAUUGUACUGCGUACCAUGUGUGUCCUGUGCCUUCAGAAAGUAUUCACACCCCUUGACUUGUUCCACAUUGUUGUUGCUAUAACCUGAAUUGAAAAUGUAUUAAAUUGAGAUUGUGUCACUGGCCUACACACAAUACCCCAUAAUAUCAACGUGGAAAUAUGUUUUAUUUUAUUUUCCGAACUAAUAACUGAAAAGCUGAAAUGUCUUCGGUCACUAAGUAUUCAACCCCGUUGUUACGACGAGCCUGAAUAAGUUCAGGAGUAACAAGUCACAUGAUAAGUUGCAUAGACUCAUUCUGUGUGAAAUAGUGUCUAACAUGACUUUUUAAUGACUCAUCUCUGUACUCCUCACAUACAGAUCCUUCAACAGAGCAGUGAAUUUCAAACACAGAUUCAACCAAAGACCUGGGAGGUUUUUCAACGCCUCGCAAAGAAGGGCACCUAUUGGUAGAUGGGUAAAAAUAGAAAAAGCACACAUUGAAUAUCCCUUUGAACAUGGUGAAGUUAUUGAUUACACUUUGGAUGGUGUAUCAAUACACUCAGUCACUACAAAGAUACAGGCGUCCUUCCUUACUCAGAAACCGCUCUGGGAUUUCACCACGAGGCCAAUGGGGACGUUAAAACAGUCAGAGUUUAAUGGCUGUGAUAGGAGAAGACUGAGGAUGGAUCAACAGUAGUUUCUCCACAAUACUAACCUAAUUCACAGAGUUAAAAGGAAGCUGUACAGAACAAAACAAAUAUUCCAAAACAUGCAUCCUGUUUGCAACAAGGCACUAAAGAAAUACUGCAAGAAAUGUGUCAAAGCAAAUCAUUUGUCCUGAAUAUGUUUUAUUUUCAAGCAUAGUAGUAGCUGCAUCAUGUUAUGGUUACGCUUGUAAUCGUUAAGGACUGGGGAGUUAGAGGAUCAAAAAUGAACCUAAUGGAUCUACAUACAGAGGAAACCCUGGUUCAGUCUGCUUUCCACCAGACACUGGCUGAUUAAUUACCUUUCAGCAGGACAAUAACCCAAAACACAAGGCCAAAUCUACACUGGACCUGUUUACCAAGAAGACAGUGAAUGUUCCGGAGUGUCCGAGUUACAGUUCUGACUUUAAUCUGCUUGAAAAUCUGUGGCAAGACUUGAAACAGGUUGUCAAGCAACGAUCAACAACCAAUUUGACAGAGCUUGAAGAAUUUUGAACAAAAUAAUGGGCAAAUAUUGUACAAUCCAGAUGUGUACAGCUCUUAGAGAAUUACCCAGAAAGACUCACAGCUUUAACCACUGCCAAAGGUGAUUCUAACAUGUAUUGACUCAGGGGUGUGAAUACUUACGUUAAUGAGGUAUUUCUGCAUUUAAUUAAUACAUUUGCAAUAAUGUUUUUAAAAAACACAUUUUUGCUUUUUUCAUCAUUGGUAAUUGUGUAUGUAGAUGGGUGAGAAAUACAUAUAUUUAAUCCAGACUGUAACAACAAGAUGUGGAAUAAGUCAAGAGGUAUGACUACUUUCUGAAGGUACUGGACGACAAAUAAACUCGAUUUAUGACGGAUGGGAAUACAGCAUAUGUAGUCAAACACACAAAACAUUUCAUAAGGUGUUAGAGGAGUCCGGAAGAUCGUUCAUCUUCUCCUAAAUGUAUGGACCUGGACUGAUCUUAAGCCGGUUGGAUUAUUCCAGGGUGAAGAAGUAUUUUAUUAUUUUAUGGGUGAAGUCCAUCUGAAGAGAAGGGAUUCCUACCACUACCUCACUAUCCAACAAAGGUGACAGAAUUACAGAGAACAUGAAGCAACUCUUGGAGGACAAUGGAAUUACAUUAUAAAACGUUUAUUUAUUCUCAGAAGGCUCCAAAAAAAAAAAUCAGAAACGGGUUGGUUCUACUUUUAACAAUGAGGAUGCUUUUGUGGUGCAUUUGAUGUCAGGCUGUGAGAUCACACAGACAGAUGAUGGGCCUUUACAGGCUGCAUCGUGUUCCCCAGAACAGAACAGAGCUCAGUCUGGUCCCAAUGAUCGUCUCCCCAUAACCCUGACUACAUGAUUAAAGGACAGCAGGAGACUUCAAACAGCUAGACAGGCAUCAAGUAAGUACAAUACAAAGUGACAGAGAUUAUACUGAACUUUCUAAUUCUGAAUGUAAAUUGCCAUCCAUGUUAGAUUAAGCUGAUUUCAUAAAUCAUGUGUGGACUGUCCCAUCAUAUUACAUCACAGUGACAGUCAGGCAAUUUAAGUAGCCUCUAAUUCUUGAAGUGUACUCCCAAGUGUACUCCCAAGUGUACUCAUUACUUUGGCUUGUGUUACAGGUCCAUAGAAAUAGAAUCCAUAGAACGGACUUGGCUGCCAUUCCUCCCAUUAUUUCAACCAUUGACUUGAAUAGGGAAGCCCGUUCUACAGGUUCUAUGGUCAGAUUACUGCUAA